rnacentral:misc_RNA from 1 species
GGUGAACAAGGAACACACAGUUAUCACAAUUCAAAAUAGCAUGCUUUUUAUCAUCUACCAUGCAAAUAAGACCUAAAAGCAAAGGAAAUUUUAAUUAUAACAUCAGCAUUUUAAUCCAAACAAAAUAACAGUUGACCUCAAGUGAGAUUUUGAAAAUUAUGUUGAUAAGAAUUUCAGAAGGGAAUUUUAGAAACUUGAGGCAACCAGGUUAUGAUAAUGCCCAUUGAACAUAGGAAAGGUGUGCGCAAACACGCGC